rnacentral:lncRNA from 1 species
UUAAAUUUGAGCGGCUGCGACAUACUGAGACAUAUUCCAAACAACAUAUGCAAUCUGAGAGCACUAGAAACUCUAAGUAUUCGUAGGUGCCCAAACCUGAAAGAAUUGCCAGAGGAACUUGGGAAUAUUGAAAGCUUAAGGGAGCUCUGGGCAUAUUUCUCGGGAAUUUUUAAGCUACCAGAUUCAAUUGGAAGGCUUAGUAGGUUGGUUAACUUGGAUUUGGAAUGUUGUAGAAACCUUAGAACUCUUCCAAAUAGCUUAUGCAACUUGAGGGUAUUGGAAAGUCUACGUCUUACUUGUUGCGAAAAUCUAAAAGGAUUGGCCUAGGAAUUGGGAAACAUUGAAUCCUUAAGGGUGCUUGAGGCAGGCUACACAAAAAUUACAAAAUUACCAGAUUCAAUUGGAAGGCUUAGUAGGUUGGUUAACUUGGAUUUGGAAUGUUGUAGAAACCUUAGAACUCUUCCAAAUAGCUUAUGCAACUUGAGGGUAUUGGAAAGUCUACGUCUUACUUGUUGCGAAAAUCUAAAAGGAUUGGCCUAGGAAUUGGGAAACAUUGAAUCCUUAAGGGUGCUUGAGGCAGGCUACACAAAAAUUACAAAAUUACCAGAUUCAAUUGGAAGGCUUAGUAGGUUGUGGAUUUGGAAUGGUGUAGAAACCUUAGAACUCUUCAUUUAGCUUAUGCAACUUGAGGGUAU